rnacentral:rRNA from 1 species
UACGGGGGGAGCAAGCGUUGUUCGGAUUUACUGGGCGUAAAGGGCGCGUAGGCGGCCAGCACAAGUCAGUUGUGAAAUCUCCGAGCUUAACUCGGAAAGGUCAACUGAUACUGUGCGGCUAGAGUGCAGAAGGGGCAACUGGAAUUCUUGGUGUAGCGGUGAAAUGCGUAGAUAUCAAGAGGAACACCUGCGGCGAAGGCGACAUCCUGGACCGGUAUUGACGCUGAGGCGCGAAAGCCAGGGGAGCAAACGGG